AAUAGAUACCCUGGUAGUCCACGCCGUAAACGAUGAGUGCUAAGUGUUGGAGGGUUUCCGCCCUUCAGUGCUGCAGCUAACGCAUUAAGCACUCCGCCUGGGGAGUACGGUCGCAAGACUGAAACUCAAAGGAAUUGACGGGGGCCCGCACAAGCGGUGGAGCAUGUGGUUUAAUUCGAAGCAACGCGAAGAACCUUACCAGGUCUUGACAUCUCCUGACCGCCCUGGAGACAGGGUCUUCCCUUCGGGGACAGGAUGACAGGUGGUGCAUGGUUGUCGUCAGCUCGUGUCGUGAGAUGUUGGGUUAAGUCCCGCAACGAGCGCAACCCUUGGUUCUAGUUGCCAGCAUUCAGUUGGGCACUCUAGAGCGACUGCCGGCGACAAGUCGGAGGAAGGUGGGGAUGACGUCAAAUCAUCAUGCCCCUUAUGACCUGGGCUACACACGUGCUACAAUGGAUGGUACAAAGGGCAGCGAAGCGGCGACGCAUAAGCGAAUCCCAGAAAACCAUUCUCAGUUCGGAUUG
rnacentral:rRNA from 1 species